CCCCGUAGCCGCGGAGUAUAUAGACUGCGCGCCGCGGCUGCCGGCCCCGCACUGCUGAAGAGCGGAGCCUCCGCCCGGGGGACCCCUAUCCCUGCCUGUCCCCCAGAACUGCGCGUCUCCACCCCACCCCACCCCCGCGGCCGAGCCACCGCUGGUGUGGCGGUCUCCGCUCGGCAGAAGAGCCUUGAACGGUCACCCGAUCCCCCUCCACAGCAUCUUUGCAUCUCGGAUUUCGGGGCGGCCCCCUCCCCCACCUCUCCCUGCCUCUUUGCACCCCUAUUUUUUAUGCGCUUCUCUCGGGUUUUGCAGCCGUCUAUAUUUGCAUCCCUUUUCGUUUUGCUUCUGGGAGGUUUGGGGGGUGAAGCUGCGUUCGCACCCCUUCCCCUUUUUAUCCUCCCCUGCUCGGACAACCCCCCUUUUCAUUGCAGUGGGGGGGGGCCUAGGUUCUGUGCAUCCUACGCCGCGCCGCCAGCACCCCGCAACGUGUGGCCCUGCGCCCCGGAAUUUGCAGCAGCUGCAUAUCUGAGGGGGGCGGUCUCCCUCGCCCCCGCUGCCUUUGCUUCCCGCGCGUUCUGGUGCGUGGGGGCUUCACGCGCCGCACCCCGGCUUCUCCAUAGCCCCCCGCCCCGCGCGGGACUCGCCCCCCGCCGUCAAGAUGGUCAUUCAGAAAGAGAAGAAGAGCUGCGGGCAGGUGGUUGAGGAGUGGAAGGAGUUCGUGUGGAACCCGAGGACGCACCAGUUCAUGGGCCGCACCGGGACCAGCUGGGCCUUUAUCCUCCUCUUCUACCUCGUCUUCUACGGCUUCCUCACCGCCAUGUUCACCCUCACCAUGUGGGUGAUGCUGCAGACGGUCUCUGACCAUACCCCCAAGUACCAGGACCGACUGGCCACACCGGGCUUGAUGAUUCGCCCUAAGACUGAGAACCUUGAUGUCAUUGUCAAUGUCAGUGACACUGAAAGCUGGGACCAGCAUGUUCAGAAGCUCAACAAAUUCCUGGAGCCUUACAAUGACUCCAUCCAAGCCCAAAAGAAUGAUGUCUGCCUCCCUGGGCGCUAUUACGAACAACCAGAUAACGGAGUUCUCAACUACCCGAAACGUGCCUGCCAGUUCAACCGGACCCAGCUGGGCGACUGCUCUGGCAUUGGGGACCCCACCCACUAUGGUUACAGCACAGGACAGCCCUGUGUCUUCAUCAAGAUGAACCGGGUCAUCAACUUCUACGCAGGAGCAAACCAGAGCAUGAAUGUUACCUGUGUGGGGAAGCGAGAUGAAGAUGCUGAGAAUCUCGGCAACUUCGUCAUGUUCCCUGCAAACGGCAACAUCGACCUCAUGUACUUCCCCUACUACGGCAAGAAGUUCCACGUGAACUACACUCAGCCCCUGGUGGCCGUGAAGUUCCUGAAUGUGACCCCCAACGUGGAGGUGAACGUGGAGUGCCGCGUCAACGCCGCCAACAUCGCCACUGACGACGAGCGCGACAAGUUUGCUGGGCGCGUGGCCUUCAAACUCCGCAUCAACAAAACCUGAGGCCCCUUCCUCCCGCCCCCACCUCUUUCCUACGGAUGCUUCUGGAAUAUCCCUGACCCUGCCUGAUCCCUCUCUCACCCACCCCAAAGCUUCCACACCCCACCCACAGAUGGACUCUUCCCUGUUUUUCUCUCGCUGGAUCUGAGUCUCUUCCCUUUGGGUCCCCAUGUUUUCCUGCACUCCCUUCACCCCAGUGGUCUCUCUCUGCAGUUAUUUAAUGCCUGUGUCAGAUCUACUGUAAAAAGAGGAUAAAGUACAAUAA